GCGGGCCCGUGGGCGGGGCCCGGCGCACCACCAGGGCAGUGGGGGGCCCGGCCCCUCCUGGGAGGGUCGGGCGUUGUGGGACCGCGCGCGCUCAGGCGGCCGCCCUAGUCUCCUGUCCCCUCACCUGUCCCCUUAGCUGUCCCAUCUCCUGUUCCCUCUCCUGUCCCUCACCUGUCCUAUCUCCUGUCCUCCUGUGCCCUCAGCUGUCCCCUCAGCCCCCCUCAGUUCCCCCAGAGGCCCUUAGCUUCGGAACGGGCGCGUGGCUGUGCCCUGCGGCUGCAGGAGGCCGAGGGGACGAGGCGCAGCUGUUCCUGAGGCGAGUGGGUGACCGCAGAGCGGGAGCGCUGUCCCGCCUGACAGCCUGGACGCCGGCCCUCCUCCUGGACGGGUCUGAAUAAUAAUCAUCUUUCAGAAUUGAGCCUGAAUUUACAGCUGGACUUACACAUAUAUCUUUCUAUCUCAAAAUAUAUUUUAUAGAGAACUAGUGGGACAGAAUCAUUGAAUGCGUAAGCUGAAAGGACUCUGGACCAGUCCUCUAAUGGAACAGAUGAAGAGAACUCACCCAGAGACCAAGGACCUGGCCAGCACUCCUAUCCCAGGGCUUUAUCACCACCACACAUGGUCUCGGGGACCACGUUCAUUGAAUGCCUACCACUUGGUCUGUAUCAUAUUUGAUUUUACAGAGAAAUAACAGUCACCUUUUCCUCCCUAUUGCAGAA